CUAUUUUUGCUGACUUCCCAGGGAAAGGAAGUUUCUGGCUUGACCAGGAGAUGUCUCUAUUAAGCCACGUCGAGCUGAACGCGGAGGCACAGCAGGAGGAGAGGACUGUGCUGGGGAAGAUCAGCCCUGCAACAAACUGCAGCGGUGGAGGGACCCUCCCUGCACUCUCACCGCUGCCUCAAUUAGCAGCACCUUACUGCAGCCCUCCGGCAGCUAUUUAAGUGCUGUUUCCUCUUGGAACAGCUCAGGUGGAGCCAGUAGACGUCUGCCUGGCUUUCAAGACAGACUGCAGCAGAUCUGGUGUGAAGAGCCUCUUCUCCCCCGUGAGCUCUUCCCAUCACGGCAUCUCCUUCAGCAAGAAGACCCAGCAGAAUUUCCCCUGAUCUACAGGAAGGACCAGAGAGAGAGGGACAAAAUACUGCAUGAAGAAGCUGUUGCUGCAAUGUUGGCUGCAAGUUUCAUCCCUGCCCGUGGGACUCUAUUUUCGGGACCAAGCCACUGUUGUGCUGCCCCCAGGCUCAAGUUUCUGCUGCUAGAAGGUUUUUAUGUAAAAAGAAAGCCAGCUUGAGCAUCCCCUCAGGAUACAUGGCUCAGCGAGUGACAAGUGCAGUAGGAUACUUACUGGUCAUCACCUUGGAGCUAACGGGGAUGCUG